rnacentral:rRNA from 1 species
AUUGAACGCUGGCGGCAGGCCUAACACAUGCAAGUCGAGCGGUAGAGAGGUGCUUGCAUCUCUUGAGAGCGGCGGACGGGUGAGUAAUGCCUAGGAAUCUGCCUAGUGGUGGGGGAUAACGUUCGGAAACGGACGCUAAUACCGCAUACGUCCUACGGGAGAAAGCGGGGGAUCUUCGGACCUCGCGCCAUUAGAUGAGCCUAGGUCGGAUUAGCUAGUUGGUGAGGUAAUGGCUCACCAAGGCGACGAUCCGUAACUGGUCUGAGAGGAUGAUCAGUCACACUGGAACUGAGACACGGUCCAGACUCCUACGGGAGGCAGCAGUGGGGAAUAUUGGACAAUGGGCGAAAGCCUGAUCCAGCCAUGCCGCGUGCGUGAAGAAGGUCUUCGGAUUGUAAAGCACUUUAAGUUGGGAGGAAGGGUCGUAACCUAAUACGUUACGGCUUUGACGUUACCGACAGAAUAAGCACCGGCUAACUUCGUGCCAGCCGCCGCCGUAAAAC